GACGAACGCUGGCGGCGCGCUUAACACAUGCAAGUCGAGCGAGAACCUAGGCUUCGGCCUAGGGGACAGCGGCGAACGGGUGAGUAACACGUGGGUAAUCUGCCCUCGACAUCGGGAUAGCCCGGGGAAACCCGGAUUAAUACCGAAUGGCCCAUCCGCUUUUCGGUAGCGGCUGGAAAGGUAGCUUCGGCCUCCGGUCGAGGAGGAGCCCGCGGCGGAUUAGCUUGUUGGUGAGGUAAUGGCCCACCAAGGCGACGAUCCGUAGCUGGUCUGAGAGGACGAUCAGCCACACUGGGA
rnacentral:rRNA from 1 species